GUGUGAGCGUCUUUCGAGUCACAUGAUUGUAUUUCAAGCUAUUUAAAAGCCCAUUCGUUCUGUAAGUUUGUAAGGAAAUAAUAAUACAAAAAAAGACAGCAAGACAGCAGCAAGCAGAUCAAUACAGCUGCUUCUGCAAAGUAAGAAGCUCGCUGAAAGAAAAGAAUAACGCAACAAGUCUGAAGGAGAGCCGCGCCGGUCGGUGCAAUAGGAGGGGGGUGUCAGUCAGCGUGAGUGAGCAUUGAAGAACUUGCUUUAAAACAAGAAAUCGCCUGCAUAGCUUGGCUUGCUGCUUCGAGAAGUUCCAGAGCGUUCUUGAAACAAAACGCACCCAACCGCGUUCCGGUAUAACUGGAUACCUUACCGAGCGAACUGCUCUGACCCAGCGCCAUGGGAGUGAAAGGGUUGCACUGCUUUCCCUGGUACAGCUGCUGGAAGGAGAGAAGCAAGGAGGCUGGUCGAAACAAGCUGUGUGAACGGGCCGCUGGAAAAGCUAGGCUGUCGUCUACGCAGUCAGUCAGCAGCGAGGGCGACCCACAGAGCCACCGGGCCUACUUCAGCAGGAAGGCCCGCGUAUCCUUUCGCCACGAGAUGGACUCCCCAGUGGCGAUCAUCGACUCCACUAACUGAGGACGACCUCCCCCUCCCUAAUUACCCAGGCCCUUAAACGGAACAGUGUGUGCGCCCAUUCCUGGAGAGGGAGACCCCUUCACAACAGACGGCAGUCCCUCCUCACAUCAGCAGUCUCUGCUUGUCCUACUUUGGGUUGUUCAGCUCUACCACGCUUCCUGGCUGUGCUGCAUUUCUGUUACGUGCUAUAAUUAUUUUUUUUCCCUGGAGGGCUAACACAUAAGAGUCUAAAAAUCAAAGGAUAUGUGCCCUGCAUGCUGGGAUAUAUUUGCUAGCGCUGCGUGGUCUGAUUCUUAUCUGACUGUUUGGCUCCAGCUCUCUCUGCAGGAGAGGGUCGCUGGGGUCGAACGGGGGCUGAUUCACCGUUCAGAGUGAAGCCAGGGCAGAAACAGCUGCUUGAGUUUGUGCGGAUCUCCGCUCUCCUCCACAGGGUCUAAGAAAAGCUGAGAUCCACACAGAUCCAU